AUGGAGUUACCCACUGCAUCCCUCCACAGACUCCCCUUUAAGUGCUUCUGUCAAAGGCAGAAUGAUGAACAAAAAGGAUCACUGGUCCUCCCCAGUGUGGCAUGUCUAAUGUUCUUAGAGGGGACAGAGGAAGAGCCAGUAGCCAGAAAACAGAAUUAUCCAACCUUGGGUUCACCUGCAUUGGUCUCAGAUCACAUUCUGCUUCUCUUCCCUUCCCCUGCUUUCCUGCCCUCCCUAACCCUCCAUGCAAAGAGUUGCCUGGUACACUUUCUCUUUUAAGUAUGCGCUGGGUAGGAGGCAAUAGAAACAAAUCUGGCAAGCGCCGAGGCUCACCCCUGUAAUGACCAGAGCUCACUUAGGUUUCUGGGCUCUCUGGCGCUCUUGCCCAUGUGACAAAUGUAGCCCUAGCAUUUAAAUUUCCUUGUGUGACAGCUUUGGCCAUUGUCUUGAAGUUCCUCACUCAGGAAAUACGGUAGAGGGUCAGCAUCCCAUGGAAUUUUAGUAAAAGUCAUCUUGUAUAACUUCACACUCCUAUUCACUAGGGGGUGAAAAACUUUCAUAAUGAAGAAAUGUGACCUUGUUGGUAGUCCUCAGAAUAAAUGAAAAGGAUGGAAGGAAAAAAAUAGUAGUAUCAGCUCCUUCAGACUGCUGACGAUUUCUGCCUUGGAGCUUUAAGACUGUGAACACGAAAUAAUAAUACCUCAAGAAAAUGUCUGGAGUGCAACACCACUAUCCGAGACUUCCACCACCGCACAGUCACCAUGUCAGUUGUGAAGCGUUUACACCUUGUACUACCUGUGACUAUCUAGAUUUCCUGUUUACAUGGAGGUACUGGAGAUACGCGUUAGUGCAUAUGGACUGGUUUAAAUCUCUCUUAGCUAAGCUGCAGGGGUGGUUGUCAAUCUCAAAUUCUGUUUUUAACUCACUGGAAUCAUUAAGCUAGUUUAUUAGACCUAAGACGGAAUGGGUUCUAGUCUUAACGAUGGCUGCUUUUUGCUGUGUAUUUAAUCUGACCCUCAUUUUGCCAUGGGCCUCAACCUUUAAGUACCCUUUUUCAUGGUUCUGAAAGGAAUGGUUCCUGUGUUUGGAGUAUACAAGGCUUAAGGCAGCCCUCACAUACCGCAUAACUGAAAUUCUUCCAUUUCAUACACUUAAGUCAGUUUUCCCAUAAGCUAGUUUAGGGGGUGGUGGAANNNNNNNNNNNNNNNNNNNNNNNNNNNNNNNNNNNNNNNNNNNNNNNNNNNNNNNNNNNNNNNNNNNNNNNNNNNNNNNNNNNNNNNNNNNNNNNNNNNUAAGCUAGUUUAGGGGGUGGUGGAAAGAAGGUGUUGUUUGAACAUAGCGAUACAGGAACUUUGCAUUCCAAACCUUUAAGGUUUGUUUGCUUUUUCCCUCCCUUAUAUAAUAUUUACCUUAACUUCAAAAACAGUUACUAGUAAUAUCACAAAAUGAUGGAAACAGCAUUGCUACGCAAGCUAGUGGGAUGACAUCUGGCUAUUUGAGAACUGCAAGAGCUGCCAUUGCUUAGUGAUUGACCGUAGUCAUUAUUGUGCUUCAAGAGAUUCUGCAGUGAUUGAGGUCCUCUCCUUUCAGGGACUAUAGCCUUUCCUGGAAUCUUCCCCUACCUCCUGCUGGAGGAGGAAUAUUCCCAUUCACCUCUGGGUAGGUACAUAUAGUUGCUGUUGUUGAAUGGGGAUUAUUUUUUCCAUCUCUUACAACAGAUACAAGGGGAAAUACUCUUAGAUAACCUUAAACUGUGAGGCUUUGCUAAGUGGCUAUACUUGGGAUGUGAACUUUCUUCCUUAUUAUCUGUAAAUUUCAGCCUUAUCCAGUAUCUCAUAUUGCAAUAGGUAUAGCUCCUAUAACCACUUAAAAAGCUUCCUCUGGAGCUGAGAUAUGUAUUUUUGUUUAUUUGGUUUUCCCUGCAGUCUUUGGUCAAGAUUUAGCCUGAGUCUUACAGCGUUUCUUUGUGGAAUGUACCACUGAAGUGUCUUCACUAGCUAAGUACAUGUUUAAAGCCACAAGCUUUAAUGCUAGACACUAAAAUCCAGAUUUGCCCAACUUUGUGUGUCUGUCUCCCCUACUCAGGGUGCUAACCAGAACGGGAAUCUUUACUGACACGCUCAGGAAAGCUUCAAAAGAGAAAAGCUUCAGAACCCCUCUCCUUAUGGCACUGAAUGAUAGAGAGGAAAGAACUCUUGGGGAUUGCCCAUUGCCAAUUAUAUUACAGUAGCCUUAUUACUGCUAAUCACUGUCAAUAAAAAGUCACUCCAUUCCCCUCUUCUUGAGGAAAACAAUGAGAAUGUAUCCAAUGAACUGGAAUAUUGGUCAGUAUUGAGAAAUUUUAAUGUUGCAAUAUCUAAUCAAACCUUGAGUGUACUGGUUCUGUGAACCACCUGAAAAAAGCAAAUUAAACUUAUUAAACAGUAUUGGUUCUGGUAUAUCUGUUUAUAGGAAUUGAAACACAUAGGCAUUUACAUUGU
ensembl:lncRNA